GACGAACGCUGGCGGCGUGCCUAAUACAUGCAAGUCGAGCGAAGUUUUUCUGGUGCUUGCACUAGAAAAACUUAGCGGCGAACGGGUGAGUAACACGUAAAGAACCUGCCUCAUAGACUGGGACAACUAUUGGAAGCGAUAGCUAAUACCGGAUAACAGUAUUUCUCGCAUGAGAGAUAUUUAAAAGUUGGUUAUGCUAACACUAUGAGAUGGCUUUGCGGUGCAUUAGCUAGUUGGUGGGGUAAAGGCCCACCAAGGCGACGAUGCAUAGCCGACCUGAGAGGGUGAUCGGCCACACUGGGACUGAGACACGGCCCAGACUCCUACGGGAGGCAGCAGUAGGGAAUCUUCCGCAAUGGGCGAAAGCCUGACGGAGCAACGCCGCGUGAGUGAAGAAGGAUUUCGGUUCGUAAAGCUCUGUUGUUAGGGAAGAAUGGAUAUGUAGUAACUAUACAUGUAAGAGACGGUACCUAACCAGAAAGCCAUGGCUAACUACGUG
rnacentral:rRNA from 1 species